UACGGCUCAGUAGCACGUGGACAACCUGCCCUUAGGUUGGGUAUAAACCCGGGAAACUGGGUAUAAUACCCGAUAGGUCUCGAUUGCUGGAAUGCAUCGAGAUUUAAAGCUCCGGCGCCUAAGGAUGGGUCUGCGGCCUAUCAGGUAGUAGUGGGUGUAGCGUACCUACUAGCCUACGACGGGUACGGGUUGUGAGAGCAAGAGCCCGGAGAUGGAUUCUGAGACACGAAUCCAGGCCCUACGGGGUGCAGCAGGCGCGAAAACUUUACAAUGCUGGCAACAGCGAUAAGGGAACCUCGAGUGCCAGGUUACAAAUCUGGCGGUCGAGAUGCCUAAAAAGCAUUCCAUAGCAAGGGCCGGGAAAGACCGGGGCCAGCCGCCGCGGUAACACCGGCGUCUCGAGUGGUAACCGUUAUUAUUGGGUCUAAAGGGUCUGUAGCCGGCCGGAUAAGUCUCUUGAGAAAUCUGGCAGCUUAACUGUCAGGCUUUCAGGAGAUACUGUCUGGCUCGAGGCCGGGAGAGGUGAGAGGUACUUCAGGGGUAGGGGUGAAAUCUUGUAAUCCUUGAAGGACCACCAGUGGCGAAGGCGUCUCACCAGAACGGACCUGACGGCAAGGGACGAAAGCUAGGGGCACGAACCGGAUUAGAUACCCGGGUAGUCCUAGCCGUAAACGAUACUCGCUAGGUGUCGGCCACGGUGCGACCGUUGUCGGUGCCGUAGGGAAGCCGUGAAGCGAGCCACCUGC
rnacentral:rRNA from 1 species